AGCAGCCGCGGUAAUUCCAGCUCCAAUAGCGUAUAUUAAAGUUGUUGCAGUUAAAAAGCUCGUAGUUGAAUUUCGGAAUCUGUUCGUCGGUCGGGCUUCACUGUCCGUACUGGUGUGGUGGGUUCUUACCUUCUGAAUAACCAGCAUGCCAUUCACUUGGUGCGCUGGGGAAGCAGGACUAUUACCUUGAAAAAAUUAGAGUGCUCAAAGCAGGCUAGUGCCUGAAUACAUUAGCAUGGAAUAAUAAAAUAGGACGGCAUGGUUCUAUUUUGUUGGUUUCUAGGAUCACCGUAAUGAUUAAUAGGGAUAGUUGGGGGCAUUAGUAUUCAAUUGUCAGAGGUGAAAUUCUUGGAUUUAUUGAAGACUAACUUCUGCGAAAGCAUUUGCCAAGGAUGUUUUCAUUAAUCAAGAACGAAAGUUAGGGGAUCGAAGACGAUCAGAUACCGUCGUAGUCUUAACCAUAAACUAUGCCGACUAGGGAUCGGACGAUGUCAAUUUUUUAAUGACUCGUUC
rnacentral:rRNA from 1 species